UACGAAGGGGGCUAGCGUUGUUCGGAAUUACUGGGCGUAAAGGGCGCGUAGGCGGUCCUGAUCGUCGGAUGUGAAAGGCCUGGGCUCAACCUGGGAAUGGCAUCCGAUACUGCCGUGGCUUGAGUCCGGUAGAGGAGCAGGGAAUUCCUGGUGUAGCGGUGAAAUGCGCAGAUAUCAGGAGGAACACCAGCGGCGAAGGCGCUGCUCUGGGCCGGUACUGACGCUGAGGAGCGAAAGCGUGGGGAGCGAACAGG
rnacentral:rRNA from 1 species